ACUGGCAAACCUUUUUUCCAGCCCACAGUCCCUAUUUCUAGAGUUGUGGAAGUGCGUCGUCGUCGUUAGAUCGGUCAAUUGUCCCUAAAGAGAAAGGAAAAUGAGUGAGGGUGGUAUGGAUACUGUCCGUUUACCUGCACACUAUCAUGACAUGUCGGACGACGAGGCCUCCCAAAAUGAUAGCAUCACCGUCCUUGACCAUGACGCCAUGGACGAUGUAGGCCGCGAGGUCGAGGUGGUUGACCUGACCUCCACACCUGCGGGUCCCAAAGUCUCUCGCAAAACAGUGUUCAGAAACGGCACCGAAAUUGAAACCACCCCUACCCUCUUCAGACCCAGUGGGCUAGGGCCAUUGAAACUGACACGGGACGUUGGGACCAUGACCCCACCGAUUGAAAACUCGACAAGUUCUAAGACUGGAUCUUUAAAAUGUGGCGUAUGUCUGGAAUCAUUUGAGAAACUCACUCGGGAACUAAGCAGACACCUCUCAUCCUUGAGUUGCGGUCACGUAUUUUGCGAACCUUGCAUUGCAUCGCAAAGGAGGGUUACCAAUCGUAGGUUAUGUCCCACUUGCCGACGAUCCUCUCACUCUGAGCAAAGGCUGUUCUUCUAGGGAUUCCAGUCUUGAUUUGGUAUGAAUUGACCCCGACCCUUGCGGACCCUGAUGGCUGGCUAAGGACGAUUCCUUUCAUUAUUGACCCUUGCCAAUUGGCUAAAACUCAUUUGUGAUACUCCAGUUGCCUUUCGUUCGACUUGUCUGCUAUGGUUUUAUUGGAGUGGCACCUUCCCUUUAGACAUCCCAAUUAUUGUUCCUGUCAACCGACAAGAUAAAUAUAUUAUUGUCUCAAAGGACCCCGAAAAGUUUGUACUUAUCGGAGGAGGACCCUUUCGCUCGGAUUCUACGUAACUUGUACGUACUGGCACAUAACUUGAAUUCCGAAUCCGCACAACCCCAUGCAGGCUCGUCAUCAUCAACAUCAUCAUCUACUUUGGCUGCCUUUUUAAGGUUUGACAAGUGGAGGCUCCCGGAGUUUUGCACAUAAAAGCAUUUCGUCAAAAGUUCCAAUUUUGCCCGCUAAUUACUCCCCUCAACCUGACAGCCAUCUCGGAAAACUACAAUCAACUUUUCCCAAAUAGAGCGUGUUUCUGAUUUUU